CUGCUGCCUCCCGUAGGAGUUUGGUCCGUGUCUCAGUACCAAUGUGGGGGGGUUAACCUCUCAGUCCCCCUAUGUAUCGUCGCCUUGGUAAGCCGUUACCUUACCAACCAGCUAAUACAACGCAUGCCCAUCUGUAACCGCCGAAACUUUCAACCACAAGAGAUGCCUCUCAUAGUGUUAUGCGGUAUUAGUACCGAUUUCUCAGUGUUAUCCCCCUGUUACAGGUAGGUUGCAUACGCGUUACGCACCCGUGCGCCGGUCGCCAU
rnacentral:rRNA from 1 species